AAUUUAAGUAGAGUCUGAUUAAUUUUACCUUCCUUUUGUCUACAGUUAUUGUCAUUUGCUUACUUUGUGUGUGUUUUUUUUUUUUUUUUUGUAAGCAGGUUGGACAGGGAACAGCAAAAUGGUAGAGAGGGUUCCGGGCAGGAAUCAUGUAGUGCUGGCAACACUCAGGAUAUUAAUAGAAGCGGCAGCAAUGAUGAAGUUUCUAAAAGCAGUGAGGAUAUUCCUAGAGACAGCAGCGAGGAAUCUCUAGAAGCAGCAGACAGCAAAUCUCUAGAAGAGGCAGUGAGGAUUUUUCUAGAAGCAGCAACAGCAGCAACAGACAGCAAAUCUCCAGAAGUGGGAGUGAGGAUUUUCCUAGAGACAGCAGUGAGGAAUUCCCGAGAAGCACCUGCAGCAGACAGUAAAUCUUCAGAAGCGGCAGUGAGGAUUUUCCUAGAGAAAGCAGUGAGGAAUUCCCGAGAAGCAGCAGCAGCAGCAGACAGCAAAUCUUCAGAAGCGGCAGUGAGAAUUUUCCUAGAGACAGCAGUGAGGAAUUCCCGAGAAGCAGCAGCACCAGAUAGCAAAUCUUCAGAAGCAGCAGUGAGGAUUAGUAGAGAAGGAGUAGAGAAGGAAGGGACAGUGACAAUGAAGAGUGGAAAGUUGAGAAAAAAAAUUUUUCGGGCUGUACUUCUAUACAGAAGGGGGCUUUUGGAAAGGGCUGAAAGUCUUUCUGAGCUAACAGCAGGCUGGCAACUUGGCUCGUCUAUUUUUCAGUGUACUAGGGGGUGA
ensembl:lncRNA